AACGAACGCUGGCGGCGCGCCUAAUACAUGCAAGUCGAGCGAGAAGACGUAGCAAUACGUUUGUAAAGCGGCGAACGGGUGAGGAAUACAUGGGUAACCUACCCUCGAGUGGGGAAGUAACUAGCCGAAAGGUUAAGGCUAAUACCGCGUACGCUCCUUGGACUUCGGUUCAGGGAGGGAAAGACGAUACCGUGGGUAGUCGCGCUCUUGGAUGGGCGUCAUGUCCUAUCAGCUUGUUGGUGAGGUAACGG
rnacentral:rRNA from 1 species